rnacentral:rRNA from 1 species
GAAAGUAAAAAAGGGCGCAUGGCGGAUGCCUUGGCUCUCGGAGGCGAUGAAGGACGUGAUAAGCUGCGAUAAGCUUUGGGGAGGUGCAAAUGACCUUUGAUCCAGAGAUUUCCGAAUGGGACAACCCAAUAUCUUGAAGAGGUAUUAUCUUACUAUGUAAGAGGCUAACGCAGGGAACUGAAACAUCUUAGUACCUGCAGGAAAAGAAAAUAAACAAUGAUUCCCCUAGUAGUGGCGAGCGAACGGGGAACAGCCCAAACCAUCCAUGUUACGGCAUGGGUGGGGUUGUAGGACUACGCCGUUGCAUGAAGACAUCAGAGAAGAACUUUCUGGAAAGAAAGACCAUAGAGCAUGACAGUUGCGUAUUCGAAUGUUGUCGAAGCAUAGUAGUAUCCUGAGUAGCGCGGAGCACGAGGAAUUCUGCGUGAAUCUGCCGGGACCAUCCGGUAAGGCUAAAUACUCCCGAGAGACCGAUAGCGAACCAGUACCGUGAGGGAAAGGUGAAAAGCACUUCGAACAGAAGAGUGAAAUAGUUCCUGAAACCGUGCGCCUACAAGCGGUCGGAGCUCGUUAAUGAGUGACGGCGUGCCUUUUGCAUAAUGAACCUACGAGUUGCCUUUGCCGGCAAGGUUAAGUGUGACGACACACGUAUCCGAAGCGAAAGCGAGUCUGAACAGGGCGUAUAGUCGGCAGUGGCAGACGCGAAACCAAGUGAUCUACCCUUGGCCAGGUUGAAGGCUGGGUAACACCAGCUGGAGGACCGCACCAAUAAGCGUUGAAAAGCUUCUGGAUGAGCUGAGGGUAGGGGUGAAAGGCUAAUCAAACUUGGAGAUAGCUCGUACUCCCCGAAAUGCAUUUAGGUGCAGCCUUGCGGGUUACUGAUGUGAGGUAGAGCGACUGAUAAGAUGCGAGGGCUUCACCGCCUAUCAAGUCUUGACAAACUCCGAAUGCGCAUCAGUUCUACCGCAGGAGUGAGGGCAUGGGUGCUAAGGUCCGUGCCCGAGAGGAGAAGAAUCCGGACCACCUGCUAAGGUCCCGAAAUGACAGCUAAGUUAAACUAACGAAGUCUGACUGCUAAGACAGCUAGGAUGUUGGCUUGGAAGCAGCCAUUCAUUUAAAGAGUGCGUAACAGCUCACUAGUCGAGGAGUCGGGCGUGGAUAAUAAUCGGGUAUCAAGUUGUCUACCGAAGCAGUGGGAUCAUUUAUAUGAUCGGUAGGGGAGCAUUCCAGUCAGCGUCGAAGGCGUACCGUGAGGUAUUCUGGAGCGUCUGGAAAAGCAAAUGUAGGUAUAAGUAACGAUAAAGGGGGCGGGAAACCCCCUCGCCGAAAGACUAAGGUUUCCUGAUCAACGCUAAUCGGAUCAGGGUCAGUCGGGUCCUAAGGCUCAGCCGAACGGCGAUGCCGAUGGCAGAAACGGUUAAUAUUCCGUUACUACCUUCAGGAGUGACGUGGAGACGCAGUAGUGACAGUGCCGCCAUCUGACGGAAUAGAUGGUUGAAGGGUGUAGGAGUCGAUCAUGGCAGGCAAAUCCACCAUGAGAUCCGAACCUGACAGUAUGCCGCGUCCUUCGGGACAAGGCAAUAGUGCGCGUAAGCAUGCUGCCGAGAAAAUCCGCUAAACUUAAUCCUGCAGGUACCCGUACCGCAAACGGACACACGUAGUCGGGAUGAAUAUUCUAAGGCGCUUGAGUGAUUCACGGUUAAGGAACUAGGCAAACUGACCCUGUAACUUCGGGAUAAAGGGUCCCUACCCUUUUAUGGGAGGGCGCAGAGAAUCGGUCCAGGCAACUGUUUAACAAAAACACAGGGCUGUGCCAAAUCGAAAGAUCCAGUAUACAGCCUGACACCUGCCCGGUGCUGGAAGGUUAAGAGGAGAUGUCAUCGAUGAGAGAAGCGUUGAAUUGAAGCCCCAGUAAACGGCGGCCGUAACUAUAACGGUCCUAAGGUAGCGAAAUUCCUUGUCGGGUAAGUUC